CGUCGCUGAGGGAGUGUCCGAUCGCCGGGGCUCCGAGCUCGGCUGGGCGCGCUCUUCCGAACCUGUGCCUGGUGUGGAGAGAAGUCUGGGUUAAAGCCACGGAGGAGGCUGGACAGAAAAAUACCAAUAGGAUUCACUGAAAAGGUCGGGUCGUGGUUGCAGCAGGUUAUCCAGAUGUCCAUCCACCAGCAACACUUUCCAGCUGCUCCUGAGGUGUUCUCAGGCCAGAUGAGAUACAAAAUCCCCCCAGAAAGCACUGCGUCUACCCCGGAAAACCUCCAAAAGAAGGCACUCAUGAGUUCCUGGUUCCUUUAAGUGUGAAGGAGCAGCGACUCUACUCAGAGCUUCUCAUAUUCUCUCUGAGGUGAAACUAAUUUUAUCUGCUUGUAUCUGCGACCUCAUUCUUUCAGUAACCACCCAGAGCUCAUGACUACAGGUGAGGGUUGAAUCAAGAGCUUCACCUUCUGCUUCCGCUGCUUUUUCCACAAAGACAGUCCAGUACAACACCUGACGCUGCACUAAUCUGUCUGUCCAUUUCCAUUUUCCCGUCACUCAAGAACAUCAGGCAGCAACUCGUCCCAAACCCGGAGGGAACAAUCCACCAGUUUCUCACCUCUGACUUGGAAGUGCUGACUCAUAUUCCGGCCUAAAACUCGUCAAAGGUGACACAAACAGAACACCAUCUUCUGCAAAAAGUAGAGUUAGCAAGCUGAGCAUCCUCCUCACAAUAUUCACAUAAAAAUGCAUUUCAACAGUGCAACCAGCUGCUGUUCAGCCACAUACAAGCAAGUAGUUCUGACCAAGCGGAAAAGUGUGGAAAAAGUCUAAAAAUGCAUCUGUUUUUCUAGUGUUUGUACACGUUUUUAUCAGUUAAAGUGUGUAUGACUUCCGUUCCAAAUAUUAAAGGGAAUGCAUCCCCCUGAAAUCUACACUUCUGUUUAUUCCUCACAGCUAUAAAAACAAAACAAACCACUUUUUGAGCAAGUUGCAAUGACCCCAGACUGAACCAAGCUAACUUUCUGUCUGCUAGACAUAAUAUAGUUGCACAGUAUUUUCUAUAAAGACAAAUAAAUAUGUUUAAAUUACAAAAACGCAAAUUUUAGAAAGUCUAUUAGUUUCAUUGUCAGCUUUCAGCAUCUUAAUCUGUACAUGUUUUGCCUUUUUCCUCAUCUGUCUUAUUGCAGGCCAACCUGGUAAACAAAUCCUUAAGAUAUCAUCAUCCCUGCAAUAUCCUGAAAAAAUACGUCAUGAUUUCGGCUUUCUAUUUUACUCUGAUUCAUCCUGAUGUUUAAAAUUAUCCAUCAUCCUCUUUUCCUUUGGGUUAUAACUAGGAGUAGGACCAGAGCAUCCACUAGAGGCGACUGCAGCUCAGACAGAGACAGCUUCUGGUCUGUUUGUUUUCUCAGCUAAAGCAGCAGUGAACAUUAGAGACUUUCCACUUUUACGUAUUGUGUUGUUUUAUCUUCCAACUGUAGUGUUGUGGAUGUUUUUGUUGUUCUUUUGUCCGCAGUUGCAUUUAAUUCCGUGCUGCCCCUGCAAAACUAAACAAUAACACAAGUUCUUGUAUUUAAAAAAUGUACAAACGUGAUGAGAUAAUCCUAUUUGCUGUUUCAGGAGUUUUACUUCAAAUAUGUGCCAGUGCCUUUUGGCAGAAGAAAUCUGGACCCUGUAAUCUGAUUCUGGGAGAUUAGCCUCUUUAAAUAAGUUGAUUUGUACCAUGAAAAAAGGGUGCGAUUAUUUCAGUUUGCAAAAAUAACACUUAGGGAGCUAAUAAUAGACUAUGUUUGACAUUUAGUGGUGGAUUUUUAUUGGCUUGGGUUAUACAAAUGUCACAAAAUUAGCCGAAUAGAAGCAGAUUUAUAUCAACGGAGCAGCUCGGUGCCAUGACGAGGUAACGUGCCUGAUUUAUUAUGACCUAAAGGUAUUGCAAAAGCCUGCAAUAAAGAGCAUCAUGUGCAGGGUCUCCCAAUCUGUUCAACACAUUUUGCAGAAGAUUAAAAUCAAUAUUACCAUCAUUUUGCUACGAUCAUUUUGAAACCACACAGAAAACUUCAUUAAAAGUUGUAAAUUUGAACUUUUGCGCAAGUAAAAGACUUCAUUUUGCAAAAGUUGGCGAAAAUUGUUGAUGCAAACCCAUGAAAGGAACAUUCUAAUGUGUAAGUGGUCGAGCUGACGACUUUUGGGGGAUUUAUUUUAGCAAGUUAUUCAUGUUUUGUGUGCAAAAUCGAACUUUCAAAGUAACUUUAAAACCCUGGAACGUAGCAGAGUAAAGCCACACAUUUAGAUGUCAAUAAACACUAAUGCAGAAAAGACACACAUUGGUGCAUAAAAAAUCCCCAGAAUGCAGGAAAUUAACUGUUGAAUGUUACAAAUUUUCUUGAUUACAACCCACAAACCCCUACUAAAAGUGUCCUUCUCAAUAUUUAAGCAAAACAUCCGUUCACAGAACACACAGAAUGUAUAUAAAGAGGCCUAACAUUAAGGAAAAGGUCAAUUAUUACAACUCAUCUAGACUGUGGAUGCUCAUUUUAUAACGGUGAGAAAACACAAGUGUAGAUUAAUCUGAGGAGCAUGUCCAUUUGCAUCAAAUCAAAGACAUUCAGUGACAAUGAGUCACUGUCAGUGUCAUGUCUACUCAUUUUUGACACUAAUAUCUGCACUUAAGCAGCUUUAAUGCUUUGCUCUGUGAUUCAUUUAAUGCUUGACCUGUAGUUUAAGGUUCAACGGGAAGAAAUUGGUACAUAAAAAUUCACCAGCGCGCAGAAAAUGAAAUGUUUGAUGCUCAAACUUGUCCCCAACCAGUGUUCAAAGUUAUCCAUACCAGUGAGGUCUAACAAACUGACUGUAUAUGAAGGACGUGUAACAUAAAGAGAGUUUAGUUGAAGCAGUCAGGGAAGGAGGCCAGUGCAUCUUGCUUAAAUUGUGGUCGCUCUUAACAUGGAAAAAAGCGUGCCACAUUACCACAACUCAGUUAGAGGAUCAAAGCAAAUUCUUGAAAUUAUGCUUUUCUUGUUAUAACUUUAAAUGUGGUCACAAGUGAGGAAAUACUGCAGUCAGAAGUGUAGAUUUCAGGGGGGAAGUAGGGGAUACGCAAUGAAAUAAAUUAAGUUUAAUGCUCUUUGUCACUUAACAUGAGGAAAGUUUGCCAAGUUAACUUAACCCCAUCAGAGGAUCACUGUGACUUGUUUUAAUGGUGGUUGCCCCUCUUUUUCAUCAAAAAAACACUAAACCAUUUAGUCAUUGUGUCUGAAUUUCAACAGAUAUUUCCGCCAGAAGUAAAAGUGACACAGAAAAGGAACAAUCUGGUGCAUAAAAAUUCACCAGAAAUCAGAAAAUGAAGUGUUUGACGCUCAAAAUCUCUCAUUUCAUCUCCCAUCCGUCAAUAUUCAAACAAAAACAAAGUAUGCCAAGUUAACUUAGCUCUAUUAGGAGAUCAUUGCAAGUUGUUUAAAUGGUGGUUGCUUCUCUUUUUAAUGAAAAUAACGCUACAACAUUUAGUCUUUGCGUCUGAUUUUUCUGUUUUUCUUCGUCUAAAUACAGAUAUUUCCAUCAUAAGGAAAACUGACAGAAAAGGCAGAAACUGGUGCAUUAAAAAAAAAAAUCACCAGAAUGCAGAAGGUAAAGUGGUUGAUGCCCUAAAUUUCUCAGUUUGUGUGCUUCUCUUCAUUAUUCAAAGACAAGAAAAGUGUGUCCAGUAAUUAGACUCAUUCAGGGGAUCAUUGCAAUGGUGGUUGCUCUUUUUUUGUACAACUUCUACAGAAAAAUAAUGCAGGAAAUGCACAAAUUGCCGCAUUAAAAAUAACCAGAAUGCAGAAAAUGAUAUAUUGGGUGAUUAAAAAUUCUCAUUCAAUCACUUCCUUCAAUAUUCAAACCAAAAUAAAGUGUGCCAGGUUAACUAGACUCAUUGAGGGGAUCAAUGCAGUUUCUGUAAAUGGUGGUCGUUCUUUUUAUAACUUCAGAUAAAUGUGGUCACGAGUGAGGAAACACUACACAUAGAAGUGUGGAUUUCCGGGGGAAGCCGGUAGAAGCGUUGCAGAAAAAGCACAAACUGGCGCGUAAAUGUUCGCCAAAAUGCAGGAAAUGAAGUGUUUGGCGCCCUAAAUGCCUCAGCUCGCACGACAACUCGUCGUUUUUCAAACAAACAAUAAAUGUGCAAAGAUAAUUCCACUCACUCGGGCCACUGUUGCUGCUUGUACACCUGUGAGGAGACACUGCAAGCGGCCAGGUAAGAGCACAACUUUGAGCGUCUCCAGAACACGACUCAUCCACGCGUCGUGCGCAACAAACUGAAAAUUAAAACGCUUCUCCGGAGUCGCUGAGAACAAUAAUUCACACUCUCCAAUCACACGGCGCGUAUUCUGCAGUCAGCGUCCUAAUUCUGACCAAUGACGAGCCCCGGGGGGCGGGGAAAGCCUUGACGCACUGAGGCUCGUGAUUGACGCAAGCCUUGUUUCUAAUUUUAGCUUCCUGGCGGACGGAGGCAGAGUGAGAUAGCAGAGAGCCCAUUCAUUCUGCCGGGGCGGGCCCGGCUAUUUUAGCUUCGCGAUUGUGAUCCAGCCAAGCCAAAUAUAGUCGUAGACAGGUAUUUUUAGCCGGCAAGCGUGUCCCCGUUUUCAUUCUCAAAGGGCGACCUGUGCGACGGAUACAGGAGCCGGUUUGAAUUGGAAAUCGGCGCAGUCAGUGUUAACCUGCCGGGAUAGUUUUACAGUCAGCUGAUUGCAGUCAUACCCAGAUAGAGAGAGGAGCUUGUCGAGAGUGAAUCAAACCACCACAGGCUCCUUCUCUCACACACAUCUCGGUGGUUGGAAAGGUUGGAAAACACCGUAGAACCGAAGAUAAAGUAGCCGUCAGGUCGCCAAACAGACGCGCAACAGCUGCCUCGGCUGUGACCUCACCGUGGUGACGUGUAAUCCAGAUUAACCUGCUCUCUUAUUCCGCCAGACAUGGAAGCGAUUAGAGAUUAUGACCGUGUCCUUUUAAUAGAAUUGGCCGUGCAGGUAAUCAACUGCGUCCACCAGUGUCGCGUGUCAGGUGACUCACACAAACACACAAACAGCUGCUUAUUUUAUCUUUUUAGGAGGAUGUUGCACUGUUGUUUCAUGAAAUUGGCUGAAGACUCUAAACCGUGACUGAUAAUCCUGAGCUUAACAAAAUCCAAGUCACAAACCUAAAAUGGAAUGAUUCGCAGCUUUUGCAGCUUUUAAUUCCAAAAUUAGCCCCUUAAUGUGAGUGAUGUGACCAGAAGUGAACUCAGAUCUGUAUGCACAAAAUGGGUAAUAUGAAAGUUAAUGGAAGAAGCAUGAACAAAAUGUUCUUAAAUCAACUUUAAAAACAACUGCAUCCUUAAAAAUCUUUCUUUUCUUGGAAUCUCCCCAUCUUUAUCUGCUCACUGGUGCUUUAUGUUGUGGUUAGACUGGAAUUAGAAAGUCCUAAUUUGAUCCUGUGCUGUGGUUAAGGCAGAAAAAUGGGUGUACUGUUGUGAACAGGUUGUUUUCCACCUUUGUGUGUGUUCUGAUGGUGAAAAUUGCCCAAGUAGAACCCUUUUCAGCACUUAUUCUGGGGUUCAAAUGUCUAAAUUCUCAGAAAAACUGCUGUGUGGGUCUCUACACUGAUCGAUUAAAGUCGGACAUGACAACAAACACUAUUUUCAUACUCUUUCGAUGUCCUCAUCCAGUAGAAGUCUUCUGCUUGUUAGUGUACUCAGAGCUAAAGUUGAGGUCGAAGUUGUUGGAUCAUGCAGUACAAUGCAAGUAGAAAGGAAACCUCAUGUUCCUGCAGUCAGAUGCUGCCAAAUAUGAAGAUUUCACAAAUUAAAAAUUGCACAUUUUACAUGAUUUCAUUCUCUGUACCCUCUAUUGGCAUCUUUGCACUCAAUCGCUACCACUUUUAGAAUAUUCCUCCUAUUCUACUGCUUGGAUUCUACUACCAAGUAAAACAGCAACAAUUGAUAUUCGCUGAAGAGGAGGUCAAUGUCAUCUUUCCUCUAAAAUCUUCUUGACAUUAGUCUUGCAUUUUAUUUUUUGCAAGCUGAAGUUAAUUCAGACUAAAGUGAGUUUUUUUUGCCAGACGGCAAUAACAUUUUGAAUGAAUAGAGAGUGAAGGAAAUUGUGGCAUC